AACUUUUGGCAAUGGAUCUCUUGGCUCUCGCAUCCAUGAAGGACGCAGCGAAAUGCGAUAAGUAAUGUGAAUUGCAGAAGUCAGUGAAUCAUCGAAUCUUUGAACGCACCUUGCGCUCCCUGGUAUUCCGGGGAGCACGCCUGUUCGAGUGUCGCGAAAUUUCUCAAGCUUGGAUGGCUUUUUUGUCUGUCCUAAGCCUUGGUUGUUGGGCUUUGCCGUGUCCUUCAUUGGGACGGCUGGCCUUAAAAGCAUCAGCUGAUCCUCGUGUGGCACUGGUUCUACUCAGCGUGAUAAUAGUCUGAUCGCUGAGGACAUCUUUCGAGAUGGCCAAUUCUCAUUUGGGCUGCUUCUAAUCUUGGUCGAGCAGAUUCUGAAUCUGUUCCACUUUUCAACUUUUGACCUCGAAUCAGGUGGGACUACCCGCUGAAUUUAAGCAUAUCAAUAAGCGGAGGCU
rnacentral:misc_RNA from 1 species